GGGCGUAAGCCUGAACCRSCNNAGUCGCGUGAGGGAUGAAGGUUCUAUGGAUCGUAAACCUCUUUUAUAAGGGAAUAAAGUGCGGGACGUGUCCUGUUUUGUAUGUACCUUAUGAAUAAGGAUCGGCUAACUCCGUGCCAGCAGCCGCGGUAAUACGGAGGAUCCRANCGUUAUCCGGAUUUAUUGGGUUUAAAGGGAGCGUAGGUGGAUUGUUAAGUCAGUUGUGAAAGUUUGCGGCUCAACCGUAAAAUUGCAGUUGAAACUGGCAGUCUUGAGUACAGUAGAGGUGGGCGGAAUUCGUGGUGUAGCGGUGAAAUGCUUAGAUAUCACGAAGAACUCC
rnacentral:rRNA from 1 species